rnacentral:tRNA from 1 species
AGAGAUUUUUCAAUUGAGGAGAUGACUUAUUAAGAUGAGUUUACUUUAGCUGUUAAUUAAAAAAAGAACGAAAGAAUUAAGUAGAGUCUCAUAGCUCAGCUGGUUAGAGCGCUACACUGAUAAUGUAGAGGUCGGCAGUUCGAGUCUGCCUGAGACUACUAAAUUUUUUUGUAGGAAAUUCUAGGAGCUUAGAAUUCACAAGAUACUAGCUUACUAGUAUAAUGGGGGAUUAGCUCAGCUGGCUAGAGCGCUUGCCUUGCACGCAAGAGGUCAUCGGUUCGACUCCGAUAUUCUCCACAUUUCCUAAGGGAUAGUUGUUAAUUGUUAGAAAACGUUAGUAGGAUACAAGUUUUUAUUCGAUUUUCAAGAAUUGCAAUUAUACUGUUAGAGGGAAAACCGUUCAUUGACAUAUUGAGAUUAAGAAACACGAGCAUUGAUAUUUUAUAAAUAUCAAUCAAUAAAAAAUAUAAGAAUUUUAAGAGACAAAAAGUAC